GACGAACGCUGGCGGCGUGCUUAACACAUGCAAGUCGAACGGAAAGGCCUCUUUCGGGGGGUACUCGAGUGGCGAACGGGUGAGUAACACGUGAGUAACCUGCCCUUGACUUUGGGAUAACUUCAGGAAACUGGGGCUAAUACCGGAUAGGAGCUCCUGCUGCAUGGUGGGGGUUGGAAAGUUUCGGCGGUUGGGGAUGGACUCGCGGCUUAUCAGCUUGUUGGUGGGGUAGUGGCUUACCAAGGCUUUGACGGGUAGCCGGCCUGAGAGGGUGACCGGCCACAUUGGGACUGAGAUACGGCCCAGACUCCUACGGGAGGCAGCAGUGGGGAAUAUUGCACAAUGGGUGGAAGCCUGAUGCAGCAACGCCGUGUGCGGGAUGACGGCCUUCGGGUUGUAAACCGCGUUCGCUCCUGACGAAGCUUUGUGUGACGGUAGUGGGUAAAGAAGCACCGGCUAACUACGUG
rnacentral:rRNA from 1 species